AACAUGGUACGUACGCUUGAUGAAAAUUAUAGGGGGAUUCCUUGCUACAUCCAUUUCACAACUCAAAUGAAGUUGGAACCCACUUCAAAGCAGUACAGUAUGAAUGGUAGGAAAGAGGGCCCCGGGACACAUGAAUUUAAAUUCAUUACUCAUCUCGACAAUUACUGAAAAUUUUUAAUAAUUUUCUUCUUAUCCUGAUCAAUAGAAUUUUUAAUUUAGAUUUGAGUGGCUGUUGGGGGCAGUUAAAAAGAUGUUAUUAGAAAUGUGUCAUAUAAUUUAUUUAUUUUGAUACCUGAUUUUUCCUUUCUUGUAGUGUUCUGAUUGGGGACCGAGGAAAGAAGGAAAAGAAAAGUGGAAAUAAAGAGGAAAAGGACGGAAAAAUACAUCGGUUUUUUGAAUAUUUAAAUUCGAGAUUUAUUGUAUGUAAUAUAUUUAUUUUGGU
rnacentral:lncRNA from 1 species